UACGUAGGGUGCGAGCGUUGUUCGGAAUUACUGGGCGUAAAGGGCGCGUAGGCGGCCUGUUAAGUCGAACGUGAAAUCCCCGGGCUCAACCCGGGAACUGCGUCCGAUACUGGCAGGCUUGAAUCCGGGAGAGGGAUGUGGAAUUCCAGGUGUAGCGGUGAAAUGCGUAGAUAUCUGGAGGAACACCGGUGGCGAAGGCGGCAUCCUGGACCGGUAUUGACGCUGAGGCGCGAAAGCCAGGGGAGCAAACGGG
rnacentral:rRNA from 1 species